rnacentral:rRNA from 1 species
GACGAACGCUGGCGGCGUGCUUAACACAUGCAAGUCGAACGGAAAGGCCCUGCUUUUGUGGGGUGCUCGAGUGGCGAACGGGUGAGUAACACGUGAGUAACCUGCCCUUGACUUUGGGAUAACUUCAGGAAACUGGGGCUAAUACCGGAUAGGAGCUCCUGCUGCAUGGUGGGGGUUGGAAAGUUUCGGCGGUUGGGGAUGGACUCGCGGCUUAUCAGCUUGUUGGUGGGGUAGUGGCUUACCAAGGCUUUGACGGGUAGCCGGCCUGAGAGGGUGACCGGCCACAUUGGGACUGAGAUACGGCCCAGACUCCUACGGGAGGCAGCAGUGGGGAAUAUUGCACAAUGGGCGGAAGCCUGAUGCAGCAACGCCGCGUGCGGGAUGACGGCCCUCGGGUUGUAAACCGCUUUCGCCUGUGACGAAGCGUGAGUGACGGUAAUGGGUAAAGAAGCACCGGCUAACUACGUGCCAGCAGCCGCGGUGAUACGUAGGGUGCGAGCGUUGUCCGGAUUUAUUGGGCGUAAAGGGCUCGUAGGUGGUUGAUCGCGUCGGAAGUGUAAUCUUGGGGCUUAACCCUGAGCGUGCUUUCGAUACGGGUUGACUUGAGGAAGGUAGGGGAGAAUGGAAUUCCUGGUGGAGCGGUGGAAUGCGCAGAUAUCAGGAGGAACACCAGUGGCGAAGGCGGUUCUCUGGGCCUUUCCUGACGCUGAGGAGCGAAAGCGUGGGGAGCGAACAGGCUUAGAUACCCUGGUAGUCCACGCUGUAAACGGUGGGUACUAGGUGUGGGGUCCAUUCCACGGGUUCCGUGCCGUAGCUAACGCUUUAAGUACCCCGCCUGGGGAGUACGGCCGCAAGGCUAAAACUCAAAGGAAUUGACGGGGCCCCGCACAAGCGGCGGAGCAUGCGGAUUAAUUCGAUGCAACGCGUAGAACCUUACCUGGGUUUGACAUGGAUCGGGAGUGCUCAGAGAUGGGUGUGCCUCUUUUGGGGUCGGUUCACAGGUGGUGCAUGGCUGUCGUCAGCUCGUGUCGUGAGAUGUUGGGUUAAGUCCCGCAACGAGCGCAACCCUUGUUCACUGUUGCCAGCACGUUAUGGUGGGGACUCAGUGGAGACCGCCGGGGUCAACUCGGAGGAAGGUGGGGAUGACGUCAAGUCAUCAUGCCCCUUAUGUCCAGGGCUUCACGCAUGCUACAAUGGCUGGUACAGAGAGUGGCGAGCCUGUGAGGGUGAGCGAAUCUCGGAAAGCCGGUCUCAGUUCGGAUUGGGGUCUGCAACUCGACCUCAUGAAGUCGGAGUCGCUAGUAAUCGCAGAUCAGCAACGCUGCGGUGAAUAAGUUCCCGGGGCU